UUCAAUACUGUUGCUUGCAACAGUGUGCACUUCUCAUUUAGUAAGACGUUGUGAUCCAUUAGAAAUCGAUUUUCAAUUGUAUUGUUAAUCAUUGGGCUAUCAAUUAGUCUGGUAUUGAAGUUCAUAAAUACAAAUAAUAUAAUCAUAUUUAACGGUUGUAUAUAUUGUAUUAUGAGCAUAUCAUUUAACUGAUGUAGCUGUCUUAUGGAUUUUAAAGGUCAUAACAUUAAUAACUUUCGAGUUAUUAUCCAUUUUUUUUAAAUUUGGAAAAUGUUUAUGUUCCCGAUCAACAACGGAUUCAUUUGGGAUACCUUUGGGACCCGUCUUGAAACACGGACCAAGGAGUCUAUCUAGUAUGCAAGUAAAUGGAAUUAAAAAAUCUAUUUGCAUAAAUAACUUAACUGUAUUUAAUUGGGAUUACAAGUUUUUACAUUUUUUUAAAAUGUUAGCUUUUCCAUCCCGGGGUAUUUUCAUAAUAUAUAUGGGUAACACUAUAUAUAGAAAAUAUACCAUGAGCAUACUGGAUAUGACCCGAAAGAUGGUGAACUAUGCCUGAUCAGGUUGAAGUCAGGGGAAACCCUGAUGGAGGACCGAAGCAAUUCUGACGUGCAAAUCG
rnacentral:rRNA from 1 species